rnacentral:rRNA from 1 species
CUGGGAUUAGAUACCCCACUAUGCCUAGCCCUAAACAUUGGCAACACAAAACACCCGUUGCCCGCCCGGGCACUACGAGCAUUAGCUUAAAACCCAAAGGACUUGGCGGUGCUUUAGACCCACCUAGAGGAGCCUGUUCUAGAACCGAUACCCCCCGUUAAACCUCACCCCUUCUUGUCAUUACCGCCUAUAUACCGCCGUCGUCAGCUUACCCUGUGAAGGAUUAGUAGUAAGCAAAGUUGUCACAACCCAAAACGUCAGGUCGAGGUGUAGCCUAUGAAGGGGGAAGAAAUGGGCUACAUUCACUAAUUAAGAGAAUACGAACGAUGUAUUGAAACACACGUCCAAAGGAGGAUUUAGCAGUAAGCAAAAAAUAGAGCGUUUUGCUGAAAAUGGCCCUGAAGCGCGCACACACCGCCCGUCACCCUCUGCA